rfam:Prevotella multiformis DSM 16608 genomic scaffold SCAFFOLD1, whole genome shotgun sequence.
UAGACAUGGGCAAGUCUCCUACGACCAGCUCCCUUUGAAUCCCCCAGGACGGGAACGUAGCAAGGGCAGAAGGUUGUAGCGGUGCGAUAGGAAUCGCUUGCCCACCU